rnacentral:rRNA from 1 species
UAAAAUAUAGAGAAGAGGCAAGUCGUAACAUAAUUCAACGGCCGCGGUAUCCUAACCGUGCGAAGGUAGCGUAAUCACUUGUUCUCUAAAUCAGGACUAGUAUGAACGGCACCACGAGGGUUAUACUGUCUCCUUUUUCCAAUUAGUGAACUUAAUCUUCCCGUGAAGAAGCCGGAAUAAUCCUAUAAGACGAGAAGACCCUUUGGAGCUUUAAACAUCAUAGCACUUGCAUCACCUCUAUAUUGAAUUAUAACUCCCGCACGAUGACUAUAAGUUUUAGGUUGGGGUGACCGCGGAGUAAAAUAAACCCUCCACACUGUAAGAAUCUAAUCUUAACUAAGAGCUACACCUCCAAGUAUCAGUAUACUGACAUCUAUUGACCCAAUAUAUUUGAUCAACGAACCAAGUUACCCCAGGGAUAACAGCGCAAUCCAUUUCAAGAGCCCCUAUCGCCAAAUGGGUUUACGACCUCGAUGUUGGAUCAGGAUCUCCUAGUGGUGCAGCCGCUACUAAUGGUUCGUUUGUUCAACGAUUAAAAUCCUACGUGAUCUGAGUUCAGAC